AUGUCAAAUAGAGACCCCAAGUACAUACCAAUAAGCGUGAGCGCGCGGUCGGAUUGCGCCGUGCAAAUGAGCUAUGACGUGCCGCUUCUCGGGGCGCAAGAGGCCACGCGGCCGGGGAAGGCGCCGCACGGCGGGGGGCAAGACGACGGCAAUGCCAGCUUCGUGCGAACUUGCCUCAACGGCACCAACGGCUUGGCAGGUGUUGGGCUGCUGUCGAUGCCGUACGCGCUCGCGGAGGGUGGAUGGCUGAGCCUGGCGCUGCUCGCCGCCGUGGCCGCCACCUGCUGGUACACGGGCCUCCUCCUCGGGCGUUGCAUGGCCGCUGACCAGGCAAUCCGGACGUACCCGGACAUCGGCGAGCGCGCCUUCGGCCGCCGGGGACGCCUGGUCGUGUCCGCCUUCAUGUACGCCGAGCUCUACCUCGUCGCCAUCGGCUUCCUCAUCCUCGACGGCGACAACCUCGACAAGCUUUUCCCCGGCGCCAGCGUUCACCUGGGGCCCGUGUCGCUUGCGGGGAAGCAGCUGUUCGUCGUGCUGGUGGCGCUCAUGGUCGCGCCCACGACGUGGCUGCGCAGUCUGGGCGUGCUCGCCUACGUCUCCGCUGCAGGCGUGUUCGCGUCGGUCGCCAUCGUCCUCAGCGUGCUCUGGGCCGCGGCCGUCGACGGCGUCGGGUUCUCCGGGCGAGGCACUACCACGCCAUUGCGGCUCACCGGCCUCCCCACCGCUCUCGGCCUCUACACCUUCUGCUACUGCACCCACGCGGUGUUCCCGACGCUGUACACAUCCAUGAAGCAAAAAUCUCAGUUCCCAAAGAUGCUAGCGAUAUGCUUCGUGCUGUGCACGCUCAACUACGGCUCAAUGGCCGUGCUGGGAUACCUCAUGUACGGCGACGGCGUGCAGUCCCAGGUGACGCUCAACCUACCGGCGGCGAGGCUCAGCUCCAAGAUCGCCAUAUACACGACGGUGGUCAUGCCUUUCUCGAAGUAUGCACUGGUGGUCACGCCGAUCGCGGUGGCCAUCGAGGAGAGGUUUCGUGGCGUGGUAGGCGAGGGAGCCGCGGCCUCCGUGGCGGUGAGGACGCUGCUGGUGCUGAGCACGGUGGUCGUCGCGAUCGCGCUGCCCUUCUUCGGGUACCUCAUGGCGCUGGUGGGUUCCCUGCUCAGCGUGUGCGCGUGCAUGCUGCUGCCGUGCCUCUGCUAUGUCAGGAUCUUCGGAGCUACAUCUCUCACGGCUUUGGAGACGGCGUCGAUCGUCGGAAUACUGGUGUUGGGCUUGCUGGUGGCUAUAACAGGGACGUACUCUUCUCUUGUGCAAAUUAUCCAUGAGUUGCAAGUGGGAGUGUAA
rnacentral:rRNA from 1 species